rnacentral:ncRNA from 19 species
ACCUGCGCUUCCAUUUCACGGUCAGACAGGCCACCGCAGAUCUGGAUAAUGCGGUCAGACAGCGUCGAUUUACCGUGGUCGAUAUGAGCAAUGAUCGAAAAGUUACGUAUGUUCUUCAUAUAGAGUAAUUAUUGUGCCUUACGCCUGCCUGAGCAGGCUCUUAGAAGUCGCUGUUCUGAGCUUAACGUCUGUUUAACUGAAACGCCGCAUUCUACACUACAACACUGAGGCGAGGAAAUGUUCAUACAGCAAGGAUAGCGGGAACCGGAAACGGCAUCGCUUUUCUGAUGUAAAACGUCGUAAGGGAAGCAUGACGCCCAAUAGCGCGAGCUUAUCGGGCAUGGGAGGUCUGCUUAUCGUUCCCAGGCCGGAUCAGGCGAAGCCGCCAUCCGGCAAAAAUAUCACGGGUUCGUUUCGGAAGAUGGUGUUUCAACGCGAACCAGACCGGGAGGAAGAGCAACGUUAAGAAUGACCGGCUGCCAGGCCUCGCGUUCAGCCAGUUUACGCGAGUAGCCGCGCGCAAUCAGAAAACCCCCGACGCCGCCCAGCACCGCGCCGCUCAACGCGGCAAUAUCAGAACCAAACAGUACCUGGAACAACGCCGCGAAGAUAAACAGCCCAACCAGCGGCGACAGGUAAACCAGCAUUGCUGACCCCAGCAGGCUGCCUUCGGCAAUGCCCAGUUCCACUUUUUGACCAGGCGCCAGCGGUUCGGCACUUGGCACCACAAUGGUAUGUGUGGUUUGCGGCCCGAGUUUAUUCAGCACGCGACUGCCGCAUCCGGCCCGUGAGGCGCAACUGCUGCACGAUGCUUUGACGUCGCAGCUCACCAGUGCCUGGCCAUUUUGCCAGGAGACAACGGUCGCCCACUCUUUAAUCAUUGUGCCGCCCCGAACUUAAUAUUGUCCGCAAUGCGU